GGAUAAUCGGGAGAAAUCCCGUCUAAUACCGCGUAACGCCGCGGGGCUGCAUGGCCCUGCGGCCAAAGGGAGCGAUUCCGGCAACGGAUGGGCAUGCGUGACAUUAGCUAGUUGGCGGGGCAACGGCCCACCAAGGCGACGAUGUCUAGGGGUUCUGAGAGGAAGGUCCCCCACACUGGUACUGAGACACGGACCAGACUCCUACGGGAGGCAGCAGUGAGGAAUAUUGGUCAAUGGGCGCGAGCCUGAACCAGCCAAGUCGCGUGAGGGAUGACGGCCCUACGGGUUGUAAACCUCUUUUGUCGGGGAGCAAAUUCCGCCACGUGUGGCGGAGUCGAGAGUACCCGAAGAAAAAGCAUCGGCUAACUCCGUGCCAGCAGCCGCGGUAAUACGGAGGAUGCGAGCGUUAUCCGGAUUUAUUGGGUUUAAAGGGUGCGUAGGCGGACUGUCAAGUCAGCGGUAAAAUACGGGGGCUCAACCUCCGCCCGCCGUUGAAACUGACGGUCUUGAGUGGGCGAGAAGUAUGCGGAAUGCGUGGUGUAGCGGUGAAAUGCAUAGAUAUCACGCAGAACUCCGAUUGCGAAGGCAGCAUACCGGCGCCCAACUGACGCUGAAGCACGAAAGCGUGGGUAUCGAACAGGAUUAGAUACCCUGGUAGUCCACGCAGUAAACGAUGAAUAAUAGCUGUCCGGG
rnacentral:rRNA from 1 species